rnacentral:rRNA from 1 species
CAGUCGCCGCGGGAAUACGUAGGUGGCGAGCGUUGUCCGGAGUUAUUGGGCGUAAAGGGCUCGCAGGCGGUUUCUUAAGUCUGAUGUGAAAGCCCCCGGCUCAACCGGGGAGGGUCAUUGGAAACUGGGAAACUUGAGUGCAGAAGAGGAGAGUGGAAUUCCACGUGUAGCGGUGAAAUGCGUAGAGAUGUGGAGGAACACCAGUGGCGAAGGCGACUCUCUGGUCUGUAACUGACGCUGAGGAGCGAAAGCGUGGGGAGCGAACAGGAUUAGAUACCCCCGUAGUCCCUGUCUCUUAUAC